AAACCGCGAGUACGAUAUAACUCUGAGGCACUGUAAUACCAAGGUUGUCAGUCUUCGGCAUUGAUUUUCCUUGAGCGGAGGAAAUGGUGCUUUGUCGAUCCGAUUUCUCACUUCUUCUCUUACGAGAUUUCUAGUUUCAUGAAAAGAGCGCUCUUUCUAUCAACGCAGGGCUCAGACCUUUUUACAGCAGUUGAAUGGGUUUAGCUUAGAAUUGAAU
rnacentral:lncRNA from 1 species